UACAGAGGGGGCAAGCGUUGUUCGGAAUUACUGGGCGUAAAGAGCGUGUAGGCGGCCUGACAGGUCUGCUGUGAAAACUCGAGGCUCAACCUCGAGAUGUCGGCGGAAACCGUCUGGCUAGAGUCCGGAAGAGGAGAGUGGAAUUCCUGGUGUAGCGGUGAAAUGCGCAGAUAUCAGGAAGAACACCUAUGGCGAAGGCAGCUCUCUGGGACGGUACUGACGCUGAGACGCGAAAGCGUGGGGAGCGAACAGG
rnacentral:rRNA from 1 species